CUGAACACUGAACACAUGGCGUCCCCACACCACUGGACAUGUAACUGGGAGGACGCUGAUGAUAUUCCAGGAGCUGUUAAUGAAUUAAAGCCACAUUGACCUGAGGAAGCCAGUGAAACUCCUGACUGGUUUGAAAAUUUGUGCACAGUAGGACAAGAAGACACUUAAGUAAUGGUGCUGCUGUUCGAUAACCAGGAUUGUUUCCAUCAAAUUGGCCUGUAAAUGAAUGCAUGCAAAAUGGAUGUCUGCAUGCCCCAAACAACACAGAAGCACAGCACAGAAGAUGGGAAAAUUUAAUAGGGAAUUCUCUUGUCAGUGCCUAUUGAUCAAAUCAUGGAAGAAUUUCAAAGAGUGGCACCAUGCAGAAAAUAAAUAUGAUACAGAAAAGGCUUUCAGUAAAAUUAAACAUCCCUUCAUGUAAAAAACUCUCAACAAACUAGGCAUUGAAUGAACAUACUUCAAAAUAAUAAGAGCCACCUAUGACAACCCCACAGCCAAUAUUAUGCUGAAUGGACAAAAGCUCAAAGUAUUCCCCUUAAAAACAAGAACAAGGCAAGAAUGCUCUCUCUUACCACUCCAAUUCAACAUGGAAUACUGGAAGCCCUGGACAGAGCAAUCAGGCAACAGAAGGAAAGAAAACGCACCCAAGUAGAAAGAGAGGAAAUCAAACUAUCCCUUUUUUCAGAAAAUAUGAUUCUAUACAUAGAAAGCCCUAUAGUCUCUGCCCAAAAACUCCUUGAUCUGAUAAACGACUUCAGCAAAUUUUCAGGAUACAAAAAUCAAUGUACAAAAGUCAGUAGCACUCCUAUACACCAACAACAUCUAAGCUGAGAGCCAAAUCAAGAACUCAACUCCACUCACAAUAGCCACAAAAAGAAUAAAAUACCUAGGAGUACAGCUAACCAGGGAGGUGAAAGAUCUCUACAAUAACAAUCACAAAACACCACUCAAAGAAAUCAGAGACAACAGAAACAAAUGGAAAAGCAUUCCAUGAUCAUGGAUAGAAAGAAUCAAUACAGUGAAAAUGACCAUAUUGCCCAAAGCAAUGUAUAGAUUCAGUGCUGUUCCUAUCAGACUACCAAUGACAUUUUUCACAGAAUUAGAAAAAAAAAACUUUAAAAUUCAAAUGGAACCAAAAAAAGAGCCUGAAUAGUCAAGGCAAUCCUAAGCAAAAAGAAUCAAGCUGGAGACAUCACACUACCUGACUUCAAACUAUACUGCAAGGCUGCAGUAACCCAAACAGCAUGGUACUGGUACAAAAACAGGUACAUAGACUAAUGAAACAGGAUAGAGAGCCCAGAAACAAUGCUGCACACUCACAAUCAUCUGAUCUUCAACAAAGUCAACAAAAACAAGUGAUGGUGACAGGACUCCCUAUUAAAUAAAUGGUGCUGAGAUAACUGGCUAGCCAUACGCAGAAGAUUGAAGCUGGACCCCUUCCUUACACCAUAUACAGAAAUCAACCCGAAAUGAAUUAAAGACUUAAAUAUAAAACCUAAAACUACAAAAACCCUAGAAGAUAACCUAGGCAAUGCCAUUCACAACAUAGGAACUGGCCAAGAUUUCAUGACAAAGACACCAACAGCAAUUACAACAAAAACAAAACUUGACAAAUGGGACUUAAAUGAACUAAAGAGCUUCUGCGCAGCAAAAGAGAAUACCAACAGAGUAAACAGACAACCUACAGAAUGGGAGAAAAUAUUUAUGAACUAUGCAUCCAACAAAGGUCUAAUAUAUAGAAUCUGUAAGGAAUA
rnacentral:lncRNA from 10 species